UGGUAGAUAGUGCGAUAUCUCGAAACACAAAUUCGAGUAAGGAUCCCUCAUCCUAUUUCCCAUUACAAUAAAUUGAGACUUAACGAUAUAUAAUUUUAUAUUUUUGUGAAAAAUUAGAAAAUCUUAAAAAUGAUUACAGAUCACUAGUGGAGGCAGAACUAAUUAGUUCACAAUUGUCCUGAUUUUCUAUUUAUUUUUCUGUACGGUCCUACUUGUUUGUGAUCAUAUAAUGCAUGUUCUUAAUUUAUAGUUUCUAUGGUCUUAUCCAUUUAUCUAUCUUAUUCGAUUAUCUGGUUACUCAAUCCUUUAUUAUGGUAAGCUUUAUCAUAU
rnacentral:lncRNA from 1 species